rnacentral:misc_RNA from 1 species
AAAAUUAGGAAAUAAUAAACCUAAUAAUAAUAAUAAAAUUUGUAAACAAUAAAAACUCUUUAAAUUUCCUAAUUCUAUAAUAAUUAAAAUUCCUAAAUAAAAUUCUAAUCUUCCUAUUCUGCAUUACCACGUCUUUCCUGCAAACAAGGAUGACUAGUGUGUUAGUACUCAGUCCGUAGAUUCUUCACUCAUAAGAAUCAUACAUUGUGCUUCUAAGAAAGUGCCAUAAUGACGUUCUUUGCGUGAUUUGUUGUCAAUUUCCUGAAAAUAUGCUGAAAAUGUAGGUGCAAAGUCUUGCUUGUCUAAUGAAAAUGAAUCUGGUAACAUCUGAAACGAAAAGAGUUCUUUUAAAGAAAAAAGGUGGAUAUACAUAUCUUGAAAAGUUGUUCAAAAUAAGGGCAUUGUAUGUUUCCCCUCAGAUAUUUUGACUGUGGUUCAAAUUCAUAUUUGCAAAACUACAAAUGCAAAGAGCUAUGACUUCUUUUGUGCCUCUUCUAUUAACUUUCAAAAUUAUACUGUGUCAUGUUGUAGUUGUUAAUUCUAACAAAGCUGACAUUUUAACUUUUUAAUUGGAUCAGCUCUCAGCAGAAAACAAUCAUCAA